CAGCAGUCAAGAAUAUUAGUCAAUGCUCGAAAGAGUGAACUAGCUAACUGAAAUCAAUUAUAAUAAUUGAUAACAUAAGGGAAAAUAAUGAUAUUACCUUAUUAUUAGUGUCGUCCAAAUCUGGUGCCAGAAGACUCGGUAAGGCCAGAGACACGAACGUUAAUCGUCUUAAUCAGGCGUAAAGGGUUUGUAGGCGGCUUUUAAUAUUUAAAUUAAAAAAAAAAUAAGUAAAAAAUAAAAGCUAGAAUCAAAUAGAGGAUAAAUCAAAUAAUGCUUAGAGUAGGUCUGAUAUCCUUAGAUACUAAGUAGAAUAUUAAAGGCGAAAGCUUUUUUCCAUUAAUGAUUGACGCUCAGAAACGAAGGUGAGGAUAGGAAAUAGGAUUAGAUACCCAAAAUACCCCUCUCUGUCAACGAUGAAUGGUAGUUAUUAGUAAUAAAUUUAUUAAUGGCAAUGUUAACACGAUAACCAUUCCGCCUUGUGAGUACAACUGCAAAGUUGAAAACAAAAAAAUUAGUCGGUUUCGGAGCAAA
rnacentral:rRNA from 1 species